rnacentral:rRNA from 1 species
GAUGAACGCUGGCGGCGUGCUUAACACAUGCAAGUCGAACGGAGUUACAUGAAACCUAGUGAUUGUAACUUAGUGGCGGACGGGUGAGUAACGCGUGGGUAACCUGGCGUAUACAGGGGGAUAACACUUAGAAAUAGGUGCUAAUACCGCAUAAGCGCACGAAUUCGCAUGAAUUUGUGUGAAAAACUAAGGUGGUAUACGAUGGACCCGCGUCUGAUUAGCUAGUUGGUGAGGUAACGGCCCACCAAGGCGACGAUCAGUAGCCGGCCUGAGAGGGUGAACGGCCACAUUGGGACUGAGACACGGCCCAAACUCCUACGGGAGGCAGCAGUGGGGAAUAUUGGACAAUGGGGGAAACCCUGAUCCAGCGACGCCGCGUGAGUGAAGAAGUAUUUCGGUAUGUAAAGCUCUAUCAGCAGGAAAGAAGUUGACGGUACCUGACUAAGAAGCCCCGGCUAACUACGUG